rnacentral:rRNA from 1 species
CAGUCGCCACGGUAAUACAGAGGGUGCGAGCGUUAAUCGGAUUUACUGGGAGUAAAGCGUGCGUAGGCGGCUUCUUAAGUCGGAUGUGAAAUCCCUGAGCUUAACUUAGGAAUUGCAUUCGAUACUGGGAAGCUAGAGUAUGGGAGAGGAUGGUAGAAUUCCAGGUGUAGCGGUGAAAUGCGUAGAGAUCUGGAGGAAUACCGAUGGCGAAGGCAGCCAUCUGGCCUAAUACUGACGCUGAGGUACGAAAGCAUGGGGAGCAAACAGGAUUAGAUACCCGAGUAGUCCCUGUCUCUUAUAA